CGGCGAACGGGUGAGUAAUGCUUCGGAAUCUACCCCAAUGGUGGGGAAUAACCAGCCGAAAGGUUGGCUAAUACCGCAUAAGUCCUACGGGAGAAAGCAGGGGAUCGUAAGACCUUGCGCCGAUGGAUGAGCCGAAGCCGGAUUAGCUAGUUGGUAGGGUAACGGCCUACCAAGGCGACGAUCCGUAGCUGGUCUGAGAGGACGACCAGCCACACUGGGACUGAGACACGGCCCAG
rnacentral:rRNA from 1 species